GACGAACGCUGGCGGCGUGCCUAAUACAUGCAAGUCGAACGCACUCUCGUUUAGAUUGAAGGAGCUUGCUCCUGAUUGAUAAACAUUUGAGUGAGUGGCGGACGGGUGAGUAACACGUGGGUAACCUGCCCUAAAGUGGGGGAUAACAUUUGGAAACAGGUGCUAAUACCGCAUAAAACCUAACACCGCAUGGUGUAGGGUUGAAAGAUGGUUUCGGCUAUCACUUUAGGAUGGACCCGCGGUGCAUUAGUUAGUUGGUGAGGUAAAGGCUCACCAAGACCGUGAUGCAUAGCCGACCUGAGAGGGUAAUCGGCCACACUGGGACUGAGACACGGCCCAGACUCCUACGGGAGGCAGCAGUAGGGAAUCUUCCACAAUGGACGAAAGUCUGAUGGAGCAACGCCGCGUGAGUGAAGAAGGUUUUCGGAUCGUAAAACUCUGUUGUUGGAGAAGAAUGUAUCUGAUAGUAACUGAUCAGGUAGUGACGGUAUCCAACCAGAAAGCC
rnacentral:rRNA from 1 species